UGGGCACCAGCGGGCCUCCCAUCUGGGCCCGCAUUUUCGAACCGCCCCCGAGGUGGCUUUGAAGCAGGGAACCCCGACUUUAAGCGGCCAGGUGUGGAAGCCUGACAGAUGCAGACCGAGGCGAUCCGCGGCGCCCUCUACUGGUCACCAAUAGAAAUGUAUCUCUACAGCCUCUUGGGGAAGCUUUGCAAGUAAUUGGGUCAUGGAAAGAAAGACUGAAUAAACACUAAGGCUUGUGUACUAGACAUGACUGGAAAAUCUGAGAACACCUAACCUUGAACACUUGGAAAGGAGCUAGAAUAGAAGGAGCACCGGACUGUUCAGCCAAUGCCUACGCAACUCUUCCUGGUUUCCCUGUAAGGUCAAAUCAUCACUGCAGGGCUCAGCAUUGAAGCUUUGUUCACCUUCUUUAGUGAACUUACAGACUGAGCAAUAUGAGUGACAGGCACAAGGAGGAAAGGAGAAUAAUGCCUUUUUGUGCAUGUGACCAGAGAGAGGUGAACAGGUACAGAAUUAGAAUUCUGAAAAUAAUUAAGGAGUCAUUUAGAAGACUCUACCUCCAAAUGUCUUGGAAAUAUAAGUGGUCCUGAGGGAUGCAGUUUCUCAGGCAGAUUUGAACACUAAAUAAUAUAGCCACAUCUGCAGAAAGUGCUAUGCCUGGAGGUAAAGACCCCGCUUCCUCUAA
ensembl:antisense Gm26973 predicted gene, 26973